rnacentral:rRNA from 1 species
UACGAAGGGGGCUAGCGUUGCUCGGAAUCACUGGGCGUAAAGGGUGCGUAGGCGGGUCUUUAAGUCAGGGGUGAAAUCCUGGAGCUCAACUCCAGAACUGCCUUUGAGACUGUCGGGCUUGAGGCCGGGAGGGGGUAGCGGAAUUCCCAGUGUAGCGGUGAAAUGCGUAGAUAUUGGGAGGAACACCAGUGGCGAAGGCGGCUACCUGGACCGGUUCUAGACGCUGAUAGCGCGGAAAGCGUGGGUAGCAAACGAGGU